GGAGGUUCUGAUCAGCAAAUAAGGAAGGAACAACAUCUGACAUCUUUACCCACUUUAACUGAAAGUUCCCACAAUAAUCUCAUCAUGAGGCUCACUCGUUCUCACCUCCAGAGUUCUGGGGGGUAAAAUAAUACAUAAAUGCAAGGAUUAUCUUAUAUAUACACCAAGGGAAAGGAAAUACUGCCUAUUAAGAAUUAGCAGCUAACAGCUGGGCGCGGUGGCUCACACCUGUAAUCCCAGCACUUUGGGAGGCCAAGGCAGGCGGAUCACAAGAUCAGGAGUUCGAGACCAUGCUGGCUAACAAGCAUCAAGCAAAGAACUUGUAAUACGCUGAAUGCUGCAUAGAAGGUUUUGAAACUACUUACCUGCUGUGGAACACCUGUAUAACUUUAAAAUGCAUCAAUCAAUCUCGAGAGUAUGAUCAUGCUUCCUGCUUUUAAGGAUCUGAAGUUAACUGCAACUCCAAGUAUACAAGACUUCUUUGGGACCCAUGGAAGCAUCUCUACAUGCUCAUGUUUGCCAGAUUCAGUGGCCUCCUGAAACCUGGCCCUAGCUAAUAAGUUAAAAAGCUCUAAGUAAUCCCGAGCUGCAUUUGAAUCUCCAAGAUCACUUGUUCAUGGGUUGGUAAUACUUUAAAGAGCCAUUUGUUUAACUGCUAAUCUGGAUCUUAUAUUCUGAGCCCCAGCUUUUUUCUAAAGCAAAGAAAAUACAAAAUAAAAGUAAGACCAAAUGCCUUUGUACCAUGGAGAGAGAAAUGACUCAUUGGAAUGCUUCUGUUUUUCAUCACAUCAAAGAUGCAUCAACAUAAAUCAACCAUUAUAUCAUGCACCAUGAUAAAAAAGGGGGAUAAAAGUCCCCAAACCACUGCCAAUUAAACCAACACAGUGCCUUUGUAUUAUUCAGAAUUUUUAUCUUAGCCUUAUUGAAAGAGCUUUUUUAGAACAUAUUUAAACAAUUCUGUCAUAUUUCAUUCUUGCAUACUCAUUAAAAAGGAAAAUAUGAGAGAUACAAA
rnacentral:lncRNA from 1 species